UAGCUCCCACGGGGGGCAGCAGUCGGGAAUAUUGCGCAAUGGAGGAAACUCUGACGCAGUGACGCCGCGUAUAGGAAGAAGGUUUUCGGGUUGUAAACUUCUUUUGACAGGGAAGAGCAGAAGACGGUACCUGUCGAAUAAGCCACGGCUAACUACGUGCCAGCAGCCGCGGUAAUACGUAGGUGGCAAGCGUUGUCCGGAUUUACUGGGUGUAAAGGGCGUGUAGCCGGGCUGACAAGUCAGAUGUGAAAUCCGGGGGCUCAACCCCCGAACUGCAUUUGAAACUGUUGGUCUUGAGUAUCGGA
rnacentral:rRNA from 1 species